GAUGAAGAACGCAGCGAAAUGCGAUAAGUAAUGUGAAUUGCAGAAUUCAGUGAAUCAUCGAAUCUUUGAACGCACAUUGCGCCCUUUGGUAUUCCGAAGGGCAUGCCUGUUCGAGCGUCAUUAUCACCCCUCAAGCCCUCGGCUUGGUGUUGGACGGUUUGGUGGAGGCCCCCUCGGGGGCUCCUGCCCCUCCCAAAGACAAUGACGGCGGCCUCGUUGGACCCCCGGUACACUGAGUUCUUCACGGGACACGUAUCGGACACAUGGGUUUACGGGACACGGUCUGCCUCCCCUCAGGGAGAAUCUUUCUAAGGUUGACCUCGGAUCAGGUAGGGAUACCCGCUGAACUUAAGCAUAUCAAUAAGCGGAGGA
rnacentral:misc_RNA from 1 species